rfam:Aspergillus clavatus NRRL 1 1099423829805 genomic scaffold, whole genome shotgun sequence.
UCCUCGAUGGUCUAACGGUCAUGAUUUCCGCUUGUCACUCUCUCAGAGAACGAGCGCGGGAGACCAGGGUUCGACUCCCUGUCGGGGAG